GAGAAUGCAUCAAGAACUGCUAAUUCAUGAACCCAUAUAUAACAAUAUGGCUUUCU
rnacentral:tRNA from 2 species